GAUGAACGCUGGCGGCGUGCUUAACACAUGCAAGUCGAACGGAAAGGCUCCUGCUUGCAGGGGUACUCGAAUGGCGAACGGGUGAGUAACACGUGGGUGAUCCGCCCUGCACUUCGGGAUAAGCCUGGGAAACUGGGUCUAAUACCGGAUAGGACGAUGGUUUGGAUGCCAUUGUGGAAAGUUUUUCGGUGUGGGAUGAGCUCGCGGCCUAUCAGCUUGUUGGUGGGGUAAUGGCCUACCAAGGCGUCGACGGGUAGCCGGCCUGAGAGGGUGUACGGCCACAUUGGGACUGAGAUACGGCCCAGACUCCUACGGGAGGCAGCAGUGGGGAAUAUUGCACAAUGGGCGCAAGCCUGAUGCAGCGACGCCGCGUGGGGGAUGACGGCCUUCGGGUUGUAAACUCCUUUCGCUAGGGACGAAGCGCAAGUGACGGUACCUGGAGAAGAAGCACCGGCUAACUACGUG
rnacentral:rRNA from 1 species